AUAUUUAUCUGGCACAGGAAACACCACAUUCAUGAAGGUGAUUUUCCCAGGGUGAGGUUCAUCCAUUGAUUCCAGGUUUGCUGACCUUUGUGAUUUCCCCAAAUGUGGAAAGCUCAACUGCAACUUGAGGUACAAGAGAACAAGUAUUUCUACUUGGCUGUA